rnacentral:tRNA from 1 species
GUCCGUGUAGCUCAAUCGGGAGAGCGCCCCGUUCACACCGGGGAGGUCGGCGGUUCGAACCCGUCCAUGGACA